rnacentral:lncRNA from 1 species
AUGGAACAACUGGAUCCAAGCCGGGCUAGAACGAGGCAAGAUCCUGCUGCUUGUGAUCAAAGUGAUUUCACUUCUGAGGGCGCCAAAGGCAAUAGGAAAGGGUUCUGCUGCAGGAAUGAGAAUGUGGAGGUGCCGCUGAGUCCGCAGGAGGGAGGACCUUCCCCCCAUCCAAAAGUGUCUGGGGCUACAGGCAGAAGGACACAGGUCCUGGUGGUGGCUGUGCUGGUGGCUCUGGUCCUGGCUCUGGCCGCAGCUGUUGCUGGACUCUCAGGUAAGGGAGGAGCAGCUGCCUCCUUCCCUGCCCCACGGAGCUGUGUCCCCUGCUCCCUGCACAGCCCAAUCCGCUGCCCUUCUCCCCUUCCCUCUCCAGCAAGAACAUGCGGAGGGGAUCCAGCUGUGCCUGUGGCUCCGGUGCUGGCGUGUCCUGAUGACUGGGUCGGGUACCGCAAUGUCUGCUACUACCUCUCGAGGGACAGGGAUGAGGGGAGCUGGGAGUGGAGCCAGGAGCAGUGCUCCUCGCGUGGGGCCUCGCUGGCCGUGCUGAGGAGGGAGUGGGAAAUGGGGUUCCUCUCACGCCUCAAGGGUGACAUGGAUCCCUGGAUUGGGCUGCGGAGAUGGGGCGAGCACCUGGAGUGGGUGGACGGCAGCAGCUUCAACCAGACGUGAGUCCUGUUGGGAGCCGGGGCCGUGGGGAGACCGUCCUGUGGUGGGACGGGCAGGGUCCUGGUGGGAGGCGUCUGCUGGGGCUGUCACUUGCAGGCAGCCCUUGUCUCCUCCUGGUGCCUUGAGGGGACAACAGGGUCUCCCGUGGUCCCAAUGGUGUCUGUGCUGCUUGUUGCAGGUUUGAUGUGCAUGGCGAGGCAGAGUGUGUGUAUUUGUUCGACCAUGUUUUGGGCAGUACAGACUGCUCCCAGCUCCGGCCAUACAUCUGCAGCAAGCCCCAAGUGCCAAGGUGACAGAAGUGGUGGAGAAAGGACCUGCCCUAUGGUAAGGACUCGGAGCUUCACCUCUUCUGGUCUCCUGGGGUUUUCCUUCCCUCAUCUGCUGCUUUGGUUCCUCCUGGUCUCAGUGGAAACUCUCUGCCAUCUCUCACGAGAUCAAGCUGUGGGAAGGGGAGAUGCGGGAGGCGAUGUGUCCGUGUCUGGAUCAGGAACCUUGGGUUGUGCAAUGACUGUGGGUUUCUCCUUUUGGGACCACCCCAGAGCUCUUCUUGCUUCUCUCACAAAUCACACAAACCUUCUUUCGAGCUGUGGUGAUGGAGCUGCAGCAAAACUCCUCUGCCUCAGAGCAUGGUGGCCCACAACUUCACUCCAAUUAAAACUUACUUCUUUAGACUAAACAAUUAAUAUUCCUCCUCAAAGCCCCCUGACAGAGCCCACAGGCCCCAGGGACCCACGGCCACACUGGGGAGGGAAGGGGGUUUCCAUCGCGGCUGCCGGGGACUCAAAAUCACCGGGUUUCCACCUAAAAUAUCUCAGAACAGCGUGGCUGAGCGUGUGAAAUUGCUUCGCGGCUUCGGGGAAGGCUCCUGAAACUCUGCGAUUUCCACCUAAAAGGGCGGCGCUGGGUCCCGCCGCAAAAGAGAGAUGAGGGGCAGGUCCUGAGGGGAGUUUGAACGCAGCGCUCCGAUUGGCUGUGUC